rnacentral:rRNA from 1 species
UACAGAGGAUGCAAGCGUUAUCCGGAAUGAUUGGGCGUAAAGCGUCCGCAGGUGGUUUUGUAAGUCUGCUGUUAAAGCGUUAGGCUCAACCUAAUAAGGGCAGUGGAAACUAUGAGACUAGAGUAUGUUAGGGGUAGAGGGAAUUCCCAGUGUAGCGGUGAAAUGCGUAGAGAUUGGGAAGAACACCGGUGGCGAAAGCGCUCUGCUGGGCCGUUGCUGACGCUGAGGCGCGACAGCGUGGGGAGCAAACAGG